AGCGAACGCUGGCGGCAGGCCUAACACAUGCAAGUCGAGCGCCCAGCAAUGGGAGCGGCAGACGGGAUAGUAACACGUGGGAACGUACCUUUCAGUUCGGAACAACCCAGGGAAACUUGGGCUAAUACCGAAUACGUCCGUAAGGAGAAAGAUUUAUCGCUGAAAGAUCGGCCCGCGUCUGAUUAGCUAGUUGGUGAGGUAAUGGCUCACCAAGGCGACGAUCAGUAGCNGGUCUGAGAGGAUGAUCAGCAUCACUGGGACUGAGACACGGCCCAGACUCCUACGGGAGGCAGCAGUGGGGAAUAUUGGACAAUGGGCGCAAGCCUGAUCCAGCCAUGCCGCGUGAAGGAUGAAGGCGCUCUGC
rnacentral:rRNA from 1 species